AUGAUCCUGCGAACAAAUCAUCUAAAACUAUCCCUGAUGAUGAUUUCCAUCAAAUUUUGCUCUCGUCUCAAUAGGUAUUUAUUCCUUGAGAAAGGAGAAGAAUACUUUAAGAAAGAAGAAAGAAAAAGACAGAAAAUUCUCAUCACACAGAAGCAAAGGAGGCUAAUUAAAACAAAACAAAACAAACAAACAAGCAAAAAACCCACAACUCUUCCCAGAAGCCAAAGCUUGGACCUAUGGAGAACAAUGAAUCAAGAAUUCUUCUCAGUGGACAAAACCAGAGACAAACCAAGGAACAUGAUCUACUACAAACUAGAGGGAUCUGCAAUGUUUGUCUAGCUGAAUCUCCAUUAUCUAUGGACCAGUGAUUGAUUGCUGUCUGUAUCUCAAUAUUCUCUUUUCAAACACUAAUGCUUUUUUUUUUUUUUUGGUGGAUAUUUCACCAUUUUUUGAUGGGUGUGUGAGCCUGAGGAGUACCAUCAUUUAAAAUAAAGGUCAUGGAGUGCCUGGAUGGCUCA
ensembl:lncRNA